AGUGAACGCUGGCGGUAGGCCUAACACAUGCAAGUCGAACGGCAGCACAGUAAGAGCUUGCUCUUACGGGUGGCGAGUGGCGGACGGGUGAGGAAUACAUCGGAAUCUACUUUUUCGUGGGGGAUAACGUAGGGAAACUUACGCUAAUACCGCAUACGACCUACGGGUGAAAGCAGGGGAUCUUCGGACCUUGCGCGAUUGAAUGAGCCGAUGUCGGAUUAGCUAGUUGGCGGGGUAAAGGCCCACCAAGGCGACGAUCCGUAGCUGGUCUGAGAGGAUGAUCAGCCGCACUGGAACUGAGACACGGUCCAGACUCCUACGGGAGUCAGCAGUGGGGAAUAUUGGACAAUGGGCGCAAGCCUGAUCCAGCCAUACCGCGUGGGUGAAGAAGGCCUUCGGGUUGUAAAGCCCUUUUGUUGGGAAAGAAAAGCAGCAGGUUAAUACCCCGCUGUUCUGACGGUACCCAAAGAAUAAGCACCGGCUAACUUCGUG
rnacentral:rRNA from 1 species